AUGCCAAAAUAUCUGAAAAAAUCUCCAAGGGCAUGAAGGACAGAGGCUAUAACAGGGACCCACAGCAGUGCCACGUGAAACUUAAGGAGCUCAGGCAAGCCUACCAAAGAACCAGAGAGGCAAACGGCCACUGCGGGUCAGAGCCCUAGACAUGACACUUCUGUGAUGAGCUGCAUGCCAUUCUAGGGGGUGCCCCUACAACUACCCCAGCCCUGUGCAGGGACUCUGUCAAUGGACUCUCACGCAACAGGGAUGCAGGUUUUGGGGACGAGGAAGAUGAUGAUGAUGAGGAGAUUGAAGCACAGCAAGAAAGUGGAGAAACCAUUUUACCCGACAGCCAGGAACUGUUUUCCACCCUGGAUCUAGUACCUUCCCAACCCACAGAAGGCGGGCUCCCGGACCUAGAAGGAGGAGAAGGGACCUCUGCUGCAGAUGUUUCAUCGCUCCACAUAUCAUCUCCGUACCAGAGGCUAUCAAAGAA